rnacentral:lncRNA from 1 species
UCUGAGUAUAUGAUUAGAAAGCGUUUCUUAAACAAAUAGCAAUUACCGAAGGAAAAUAAAAAAUUAGAUGGGGCACGUACCCAUACCUCUUCACCUGCGUUUGCCACUAACAUUACAUAUAUACAGUACCGGCCAUGGACAAAAGCAUUAGAAGCAUCUUCUUGCGGCCAUUAAUAAUAUAUAUCCAAGUUUUCGGCCAACAUAUUAUAAAUUGUCCGUAGCGCGGAUGGUUUAAGUAUAUAGCUGCUAUUUCACUUAGAGGGAUAGAGACGAAGAAGCCUAACUGGAGAGCCACAACUUCAUAAAAGAAGAGGAAAACUUUAGAGGGUCAUACUGAAGAUUUUUUAUUCUGUUUUUGAUGGAGAAUUUUAUCUUUUUAAUGAUUCCGCCAGUGAAGUGUGAUUGGUUAGGUCUUUUGUUUCGCUCAGACCAAAGAUUAUAGAAGGUGACCUGCCAAAAGAGUAGUAGGAGGGACCUUACAACCUUGUUUCAAGGGAAAUUCUCCAACUGGAGUAAUGGAGCAUUCCAAAUCUUUGGAGAAGGAAACUUAAAAAUGCAUGCCAAGACCCUUCAUACAGGCCAAGUGAAAAAGCAUUCGGGGAAACAAUGUGUAAUGGAUUCAUGAUCAGCAUUACAGAACAAGCAAUUUGGAUCUGUUUGAAAACCCAAAUUUAAGAGCCUAACACGAGUGGGGCAUCAAUUCCAGACCAGCAACCAUGUUAGAGACUUAUGUGAAAUGUCUAGGAAUUCUUCCAGAUAACCAUACCCUCUUUUUUUCCAGGAAACCAGAGGGGAUGAAUUUUAGAUCAAGUUAUACACCUCACUAGUUGAGAACCGAGUUCUAAGGAUGUUUCCU